GAUGAACGCUGGCGGCGUGCUUAACACAUGCAAGUCGAACGAACCUUCGGGUUAGUGGCGGACGGGUGAGUAACGCGUGAGAAUCUGCCCUCAGGAGGGGGAUAACAGCUGGAAACGGCUGCUAAUACCCCAUAUGCCGCGAGGUGAAAUGAAUUUCGCCUGAGGAUGAGCUCGCGUCUGAUUAGCUAGUUGGUGUAGGUAAUGGCUCACCAAGGCAUCGAUCAGUAGCUGGUCUGAGAGGAUGAUCAGCCACACUGGGACUGAGACACGGCCCAGACUCCUACGGGAGGCAGCAGUGGGGAAUUUUCCGCAAUGGGCGAAAGCCUGACGGAGCAACGCCGCGUGAGGGAUGAAGGCCUCUGGGCUGUAAACCUCUUUUAUCAAGGAAGAAGAUCUGACGGUACUUGAUGAAUAAGCCACGGCUAAUUCCGUGCCAGCAGCCGCGGUAAUACGGGAGUGGCAAGCGUUAUCCGGAAUUAUUGGGCGUAAAGCGUCCGCAGGCGGCCCUUCAAGUCUGCUGUUAAAAAGUGGAGCUUAACUCCAUCAUGGCAGUGGAAACUGAGGGGCUUGAGUGUGGUAGGGGCAGAGGGAAUUCCCGGUGUAGCGGUGAAAUGCGUAGAUAUCGGGAAGAACACCAGUGGCGAAGGCGCUCUGCUGGGCCAUCACUGACGCUCAUGGACGAAAGCCAGGGGAGCGAAAGGGAUUAGAUACCCCUGUAGUCCUGGCCGUAAACGAUGAACACUAGGUGUCGGGGGAAUCGACCCCCUCGGUGUCGUAGCCAACGCGUUAAGUGUUCCGCCUGGGGAGUACGCACGCAAGUGUGAAACUCAAAGGAAUUGACGGGGGCCCGCACAAGCGGUGGAGUAUGUGGUUUAAUUCGAUGCAACGCGAAGAACCUUACCAGGGUUUGACAUCCUGCGAAUCUCUUGGAAACGAGAGAGUGCCUUCGGGAACGCAGUGACAGGUGGUGCAUGGCUGUCGUCAGCUCGUGUCGUGAGAUGUUGGGUUAAGUCCCGCAACGAGCGCAACCCACGUCUUUAGUUGCCAGCAUUUAGUUGGGCACUCUAGAGAGACCGCCGGUGAUAAACCGGAGGAAGGUGUGGAUGACGUCAAGUCAUCAUGCCCCUUACAUCCUGGGCUACACACGUACUACAAUGCUACGGACAAAGGGCAGCAAGUUCGCGAGGACAAGCAAAUCCCAUAAACCGUGGCUCAGUUCAGAUCGUAGGCUGCAACUCGCCUACGUGAAGGAGGAAUCGCUAGUAAUCGCAGGUCAGCAUACUGCGGUGAAUACGUUCCCGGGCCUUGUACACACCGCCCGUCGCACCAUGGAAGUUGGCCACGCCCGAAGCCGUUACUCCAACCCUUGUGGAGGAGGACGUCGAAGGUGGGGCUGAUGACUGGGGUGAAGUCGUAACAAGGUAUCCGUACCGGAAGGUGCGGAUGGAUCACCUCCU
rnacentral:rRNA from 1 species